rnacentral:tRNA from 1 species
GCCUUCGUGGUGUAGUGGUCAGCAUGCUCGACGCGUAUUCGAGAGGUCCGUGGUUCGAGUCCUGGCGAGGGCA